UCAGGUCUUGCCAUCCACAAGUGAUACAGGAAAGAGAAAAUCAGACCUUCAAAGUGACGCCAGCAGGUUGCAGUCACCAGCUAAGCGACAGCGUCUGUCUGUACCAGGAUUUGCAGAAUCAAUCAUACUGUCUGAUGUGAAAAGCAUCAUGACAUUUGUACAUGCCAGACUAAAUGACCAAGACAAACUCAGUGCUUUCUUGAAGAAAAAGAUCAGUGAUUUGGAGACAGACAAGAGGGAGCUGGUUGGUGUCUUUGGUAAAACUGGGGCUGGAAAGAGCUCUUUGAUAAAUGCCAUCAUCAAAGAGAAGAAUCUUUUACCC